ACUUGUGCUCUUCAGAUCUGUUAGAGUCCUAGCAUCCUCCCAAAUGACCAGUUAAGGUUUAUUUUAGUAUGAGCUCAUAGCUGUAAACAUAUUUGUGGUUCAAUCCAUUGUAGUUGGGCUCCCUCCCCCCUACAGUUUUCUGGAAUUAUAAUUUACAUGCCAUGAAAUUCACCUGUUAAACGUGUACAGCUCAGUGGUUUUUAGUAUGCUCACAGAGUUGUGCAGCCAUCACCAUAAUCUAAGAAGUUUGAAACAUUUCUGUUACCCCAAAAGAAACCCUUUACCCAUUAGCUAUCACUCCUCAUUACCCCCAUAGUACACCACCUCCAACCCUAGGCAAUGACUAAUCUACUUUGUGUCUCUGGAUUUGCCUAGUCU